GCGGAACGGACCUCCUGAUAAGAUGGUAUCUGCAGGAGGCCCUCACCUGCAGAGCGCAGUGAUCGACUGGGUAUAUAAGGGGAACACAGUGAAUACAAGAUGGACAUUUUGGGGAGGAAUGGUUAAGACCUGACCAGUACAAUGUAUGCAAGAAGGCAGCAAGCGUGCUAUUAGAAAGGUCUAGGUCAUUAUGGUUAUAUUUCUCCUUUGUCAUCACAGUCUUUGAAGCAAAGUCUGAAGAUGAUUACUCAUGAUGCCCCUCUUGCGAAAUUUGUUUUUCACCAUAUUAUAUUCCAUCCUCAUUAAAUUAAAUGGGGCUUACUCUCACUUAAAUGGGGUUAGGAUUACAGGCUAGGAAAAUAACAUGACCAAAAUAAUUCAUUUUGUUUAGUUGUUAGUACUUUUAAAAAUUAAAGUCUCUCAAAGAUUGUUUUUCAUUUA